CUUUAGCAAAUUGUACAGAAAUCGAUUCUGCUAUGAUUUUUCUUGCAUACACAGAAAAGAAGAAAACACAUUGAUACUUCUGCAUCCUUUUUGGCUAAAGCUUCCUCUAUUUCCGUCCGAUGCCGUUUCGAAACUUGAUGAUUGCAUUGUUAGUUCUUGGCACUGUCAUCACUUGCGAUUGUUUUUGCAGGUUGUUAACUUUGGAAGUGACAAUGUUAACCUCAACAUCCGCGUGGAUGGUUUGGGGACAAACUCCAUACAGUUAUCCGGAUCAACAAAGACUGUACUUACAUCUGGUAAUAUGGCGGAUGAGAAUUCCUUCAAGGCUCCAAACAAGGUUGUGCCAACUCAGAGCCUGCUUGAAAAUGCUGGAGAGGACAUGGUGGUGGUACUCCUUCCGCGUUCUUUCACGUCAUUCGAUCUGUUAACAGAAGAUUCCAGCAAUCUCAGGACUAGGGGAACUGAUUAUUCCUCAAGAUCUUCUUUUUAAAAUGUAUUUAUAGAGGAAUAAUAAAAUAAACGCAAUAAUUCUCGAUAGAGGGAUGUUAUCGUGUAAAUAAUAUCAAACUUGCUUCUUUUUCUGUUCCAUGGUUGAAUAUUUAUGUUGACUGCUCUUCAUUCUGACCUUA